AAAGGAAGGACUCAGAGAUGCUCCAGUGGCUGCAGCAAAAAAAAGAGACAGAGUCUGACAGCACUUAAAACUGAACAAAGCACUCAUUAAAAGGAAGCCACUAUCAUUAUGAUGAAGAUGAAGAGGCCUAUAAGCAUUGGACUCCAGCUCAGACAGGCUCCUCCACACUCCUGGGGCUUGUCUAAGGCUCUUUCUCCUUACUCUGAUCAACUGCACCUAGCUUCUCUCACCAUAUCUAAGCACCUGUCCUGAUGGAGCUCACACUGGCCACCUACCCCUCAGCCAACAAUCUUGCAGAGAAAGGCAACUGAAACUCUUAGCCUCUCUCCGAUUCCUGUUUCCUCUCCAUCCUGUUGGCCUAAUUUCACUUCAGCCUUAAAACACUUGUGUUACGGUAAGUCUCCCUAUUACAUUCAUUUUAAGUCUCCCAAUAUCCUGAGCUCAGACUCUACUCCUUCAGCUUCCUUCCACGGCCAGCUUCCCAAAACACAGUCAUGUUAUCCCUAAUUAAAGACUUCUUGUGCGGGCCAGGGAGGUGGCUCAAUAGGUAAAUGCCACCAAAUCUAACAACUUGAGCUUGAUUCCCAGGAUCAACAUGGUAGAAAGAACCAGCUCAUACAAGCAAUCACACACACACACACACGCACACACAGAGAGAGAGAGAGAGAGAGAGAGAGAGAGAGAAUAUAUAUAAUAAAUUUUUUUUUUAUUAACUUCACUGUGAACAACAAUAACCCCUCCUUUGAUGCAUGCCAAAGCUCUCCCCUUCUGGCUGCUUGGAUCUACUUCAAGCCCUUUGACCUGCAAAUAAAAAAAGAGUGUCACCCGGACCCCACUCUUCAUCCAUCACUACUUAGGUCAAUAGUCAUCUCCUUCCUGAAAUUCCCCAGCUUCUCCCUGGAGAGCCUGUUAUUUCCUUUCUGCCCUUGUAUAGACACCUUGGACAAAGUUUUGUUACAGCACCAAACUUUACUGAAAAUACUGCCUACCAUCUUCUGUCCAACCUCCCCCUAAGAGGAGGAGGACCCCAAAGUGUCUAAGCACUGAGCACAGUGCCUUGCCCAGAGAGGUACAUAAUAGUCAAAAGUUAUUGUGCCAGCCGGGCUCCGGGCAUAAGAUCAGGGCCAGAUCAGAGGAAUGACCCCAACCUCAUAGCCCAUAAAAGCAGAGCUGGAGAGCUGACUUAGUGGUUAAGACAGCACUGUGCAACCACAAAGGCCUAAGUUCAGGCUCGAGUACCCACUAGCAAGCUCAGCACUGUGAGGGGAGAAGACAGUAUUGUCGUUGUUUGCUGGCUGCUUCAAGAGGCCCAUAGUGAGACUCUGUCUCAAACAAACAAACAAACAAACAAAACAAACAAAGAAAUAAGAGUGUUAGAGAAAGCUUCCUUCUUUGACCUCCAGGGAUGUGCACAGGGACAUACACUCAGACACAUAUGUGCAGAUAUCACACCACAUUCACACAUACC
rnacentral:lncRNA from 1 species